UUUUUUUUCCCCCGGUUGUGCUGUUUUAUUUGUGAGGAGUUUUGGUCUUGGUUUUCUUUUUUUCUGGACAUUUUGGUGAUAAGAACUUUUUGUGAUAGCUUAUCCUGAAAUAGUCUGAAGGAAAGGGCUAGCAGUAUGCUCUUAUUCUUUUAAGGAGCCACCAGUGUGCCAUGCAUGACAUGAAAAUGUAGGUAAAAGUGGCUCAGAAUGAAAUGAGGUUUCAAAUUAUUUAUCAUUUUCCCUUUAACCUCUUCAUCUUGGCUUAUGUUUGUUAAAUCCUAUUAAAAAUUAAUGUUGAAAUGUGGUACAAGAUACUAUUUGCCAUAGAUAGACAUCACUUUUUAAAUUAAAUUGUGAGACUUUUCAGUGCAGCAAACAGAUAUAAUUAAUGCUAUUUUUAUUUUUUCAAGGUGAGAGACAAAAAGCUGUAGAGGAAGGGAGAGGAGAAUAAACUCUAACAGCCCUAAAAAUUGAGGACAGUUGGCUUAAGAACUUCUUUCACCUUUUAGUUAAGAAGGGGUAUUAAAAAGGGUUGCGAUUGAAGGUAUUAAAAAUCUUUGUAGGUCAUUUAUAAUAGCUUAUUCAACAACAAAGAAAAUAAUAUUUCUGAGAACUGCUUCUUUUUCUGUCUUUGAGAUACUACACUGAAAUAUGGAGGUUUUUUUUGCAGAGGAAAAAUUUUCAUGGUGGAAAGAUAGAACUUCACCUUUGCAGCACCUAGGCUAGCUUCCCAGGCUAGCCGUCACAAAAGAUUUAAGUUUCUUUACAGUUAAUUUAGGAAAAAAAAGUUGCCUGUUCUGUGCUCAGCAUUGACAAUGCCAGCAGAAGCUCCAUGUUGUCACAAUGGAUAGAAAUCAUGUAAUCACAGAGCUGGGGCUGGUGAUGGCUGCUGGCCUUUGCAGAGCCAUGGUGGGUAUAGAGCUCUGCAAUAGGCUCAGCUGUGGCUUAUAUCCUUGAAAGCAGCAGCUUGUUGGCAUCAUCUCCAAGUUCUGUCAAGCAAAAUGUGCAGCUCCUUAUGCAUAUUGCCUAUAUCUAUUUUACCUUUCUGUGGACAAAUUGCAUAGAAUGUCAUAAAUUGGUUUAAAGAAAAUUGGCAAAGAUCUACUUUUUAAUUAUCUCAGGCUGACAUCUCCAAUAACUGAAACUUGAAAGUCUCAGGAAGAAAAGUCAGGCAAGGUGAGUGUCUUACUUAAGAUGUGAUCCUGGGCAGCUUGGAGGUCUCUAGAAAAUAAUUUGUGUGGGUUUUUUAGGGUUUGUGAGGAAGCUGGUGUAGUGAGAAGCAGAGAUUUGAGAUUACUUUGCAGAGGAGGGAAAAUACGAUGUGAGAUGGAGCAGAUUUUAAUUGAUGAUUAACUCCAUUGAGACGGUAAUUUGUUCCAGCUGCGGGGAACAUACCUUGCUGUCUGUCUCAAGUUAAUUUCAAGAGCACUCCAGGCCUUUAACCACAGCAGUGAAAUCUCAGCACUUUGUCAAACAAGCCCUUAGCCAUGUCUGUGUUAGCCAUAGGACUAGGCUUUUCUUUUUUUGGACAGUUUUCCACAGAGCUAGUAAACAUGCCAACAUACAAUGGUAAUACACUGCUUCAGAGCAGUCUCAAAUUAACCUCUGUUUCUUGAAAGAAAAUGUCAUUUUGAUACAGACAAAACUAUGGUAAAAAUAAUAUUUUUAUUAUUUUCUCGCAUAAUAGUUUCUUAAUGUCCUGUCCAUUUUUCCUGUCCUGCAAAAACCUUAAGGUUGUAAGAACUGUGCAAACUUUCCUCCCAUGUGUGUCUGGAAUACUAAAUUACUAUCAUUUGGGACCUUUCUUAAAGCUAUAAUCUCUUUGUAUUGGGAAAUCCAGUCAAGAUUAAAGCUGCAUUAAAAGAGCUGCUAUGAAAAGAUGCAGUAAGAUGAUGUCCUGCUGUCCUAUGUGUUCUCCAGCAGUGUAUGGGAAUGAUUUUUGUUAUGAAUUACAGCUGGGUCCCCUUAGCUCAUCCAGUGCAGGGACUGGAUCAUCUGUUUGAUGAGUGAAGGCUGUUAAGAUUUUAGUAGAUAAUUUACUGACUUAGGCUGCCUUUCUGGUUGAACUGUUUAUAUUGGCAAACUUCUGAAUAUGGAUAUAAAUUAUAUGUCAUUGCUAGUUCCUCUUUUGUGGUAGAAAGGACAGAGAAAGGAUUAGAGCAUACUCCUAUGCAGGCAUGCAUGUUUUGAGUCAGACCUGUAACCUACAGGAAAACAGCACUGUAGUUUGCCAGAAAUCAUGAGAUAUCCAAAUAGGAGCAAUUCACUUGGUUCUGGCAGAGCUGGCUUUGAAACCAAAUUUUUAUUCACCAGUUUUUAUCCAAAACAGUGAAAAUUCUGAACUGGAAUAAGAAGUAGUCCCCCUCCUCCACAACAUGCUAUUAAAAUACCACAAUGUUUUGCUUAUGAAACUGGUGUGCUCUGCAGGAUUCCUGACUGCUGCUGCGUGAAGCUGACAGGGUUUGACUGUUUUGCUGCUGUUAAUCAGUGGGGUUUGUUAGUGAAACUAAAAGGAUUAUAACAGUUUUAUUCAGCAGCUUCAUGGGCUCCCUGGGUUCCCUGGUGAGUGGGAGGCUGUCCUGGGAGUCACAGACUGGAGUCAGGCAGCUGGGAGCUCAGGUGGCUCUGAAACCUGCAAGUCUUCACAUCCAGCUCUUUAUUGCUGAGGAGACAGGAUUGAUUAACUGUGCUAGAAUGAUGGGAGAAGUAAGAUUCUACUCUUCUGGAAACUUAGACCAUAACUUGACGGCAAAGGUAGUUGAACUGCUUGGCUCUCAUGUGGCAGUUAUGUACUUAGUUAUUUCAUAAGCAUCCUUAUUUAAAAAGUAGGGGGGUCUCCAUGUAGUGAUCCUUGAUGAUUCACUUAGCCUAAUAAUGCAGGAAAGGAAGUAUUUUACAAGUGUUAAUCAAAAUAUAGAUUGAGUAGUUAAACUGACUUGGUUUAUCCUGUGUAGUGAAGAAAGUCCUUGUCUUGUCAUCUUUUGUAUUUCAAGAAAAUACAGGUAUUCAAAUUUGCCUCGCUCUAUUUCCCUAGAUAAUCUCCUGACUUGACAAUGGAAGAGCUGAGUACCUAUUUUGUGAUCAGAUAUUCUCUGCUUGUGAGGAGAAAGCAAACAAAAUGUUCUUUACUAGGAUAUGUUGUUUGAUUCUAUAAAAAAUUUACACUUGUUGGCUUUGAACAAGUGGCACAUGACCAACCAUUCCCCCAGACUUCUUGGUGUUGUGUUGCUUCAGUGCCUUUCAAGGCUGGAAGCUAUACUUGCACUGUAGCCCACAUGCCAGUGCUCACAUAUGAAGAUACUCACUGAUACUGUGGCAAAAAUUAUGUAUAUUCUGGGGAAAAAUUAGGCUAUUUUGGAAAGCCUAUAUUAUUUGAGUGGUAACUUCAGAACUCUUCAUGUAUCUCGCUUAUUGACAAGUGCUGUUAUUCUUGAGUGGUUUAUUGAAUAAAGCUGAUUUAUCAAAUGCUACUUUAUUUUAGGUCUUUAAAAUUAUUUUAGGUCUUUAAUCUGCGGAUUAGCUACUGAUGGACUUCCACUUAUUAAUGAUAAGUUUGUUAUAUUUAGAGUAAUGCUAUCAUGUUCAAUGCUGGAGUCCCAGUUGAAAGCAGAACUGUCUUUGUUCUUAUAGUCAUAUGAAAACUGAAAGGUGUGAAUAAUGCCCAUGUGCUCCAACUUAGUUCUGCAGUCUCCAAGAUGGUUUUGGGCAAUCACUAAUAUUAAAACAAUAGUGUAUAACUAAGAGUUAAAUUUCAUUUUUGCUUUAGCCUUUUAGCUGUUCUUUCUGGUAUAAUUUAAUGGAUUUGAUCCAUAACACUUGUGUGAAUUGUAACUUCCAUUGGAGCAUUAUACCUUUAGAGGUAUCUUAAUGAAAGUCCUGCUGGGGAAUGUGAUGGUUUUUUUGAACCAAAAUAACAGUGAGGAAGAGGUAAGGAAGACAAUAAACCCAGACAUUUAACACACUCUUCUAGCCUUAACUGGGGCACCAGUUGGAACAAUUAUCAUUCAGAACUGAGACAAAUGCUCUUGGCUAUUCAGCUGUGGGUCUGCUUUACACUUCAUGUGAAGAACUAAAUAUUCCCAGAGCUGUUUCCUAUCAGUCUGUUACCUGGUAGUUAGGAUGCUUCCUUGAACACUGAGCCUGUGCUCAGUAAGGUAAUGUGGGUAUUAAGCAUGGCUGUGGAGCAUGGCUGGCCCCACAUCCUGAGUGAAUAUAACAACAGUGAGCAAGUCAAGUCAUCUCUUCUGAAAGGAGGAGUUGGCUGUUUUGGUUUUUGUUUUAUUUCUCCUCUUCAUUGUUUGAUUGUUCUCACACAAAUCUGUUUUUCUGACACACUUGAUUUCAUACAAAUACUAAGCAAUGGGAUUUUUUUAAUGUGUAGGAUGAAAAACCUCUUUUGUUCUCAGGUUCUGUUUGUUACUUCACUUCCAGUUGAGCAGAGGGGACUCGUGAAGUGUAUGUAGGAAUUGCACACAUGUUGUUGAAACGUUGCAUAUUUCUAGUUUAGAACUGAGUAAAAACAGUGUGCUAAUGACAGCCAUAACUAUGUGUUAAUACACAUACUAGUGUGCAGAAAGGAGUCACAGUUGGAUGUACUGACAUAGAUUAAACUUCAUCCCUUUUCUCCUUUUUAGAAGUCAUUAUUGGGGAAAAAAAACCACAAGAGUAAAGGUCAGUAGAACAAUAACAAUACAAUAUUUUUAGUGGGGUAAAGUAAAUUAUUUUUAAUGUUAUUUUUGAGUGAUUGAUUUCAUACUGUAGUUUAAUACAUAGGGCAAGUGAUUGGGGAGGGAAUUAAAGAGGUAAAUUAUACAGGGCCAAAAUGAUAAAUUGUCCCCAGAUGAUAAAAUAAGCUGCCAACUCCCCUUCCCCCCACAAGCUGAAUGCUAUACCUUUCAAGAGGGCUCAUAAAUGUCAGCAGUAAUACUGAUUUUAAACCAUCUGGUUCUUCACAGUAAGUUAUGAGAUCUUCUAGCUUUAAAUACAAUAUUGGUUCAUGCAAAUGACAAUAUAACAGACUUUGACAUCCCAAAAUAUCCCUUCCCACCCUGGUUCAGCCUCCUCCCUCUCUUUCCUCCCCUUCCUUCAUUGACUUAUCUGCAGUAAAAUACCAAACCACUACAUCUUGCCAUCCCUUUUGGGUUAAAACUUCUGUUUAGACCUGUGAGCAGAGAGAGAUAGUAAAACUAAUAAACUAGCUCAUCAAUUUGAACUUGUGAUGAACUUGAGAGCUGGUAUGUUGUUGAGGCUGUUGAAAGCAAAUUCUGAGCAUGUCAUUCUUGGACAGAGAGGGAAUUAAGCUGGUCUGUGAAGCUACACAGACAGAUGUAAGUAGUGAGCUAAGGACAGCAAUGGUCUAGGAAUGUUUAUGUAGGUGAAUUGUCUAGUAUCUUCAAUACUAGUUGCACAUUAUCCUUUAGGGCCUGACUUUGAAAAUGAUGGUUUUGAAAAAUGCUGGGUGUGAAUGUGUGUCUCGUUCUUUUGCCUCCCACUGGCGACAAAGAAGCCAACACUGAGGAUCUCUGGAAAGGAAAAACUAUGGAAGUAGCAGAAAGAGCUUAAUAGGUUAUCAAGCUUGCUGAUUUCAAAUAGUGCCAAUACCCAUGUUGUAGAUCUCAUAAAUAAGACUGUUUCUAGAUUUUCUCCUCAUAUAUGCAAGUCUAGUCGCAAAUGUUAUGCCUUUCAUGAGCUGAAGCUUUUAUGAAUUCCAGACAGAAUGUGUCCGUGGGAGUUUUUAUCAUUUUCCAUUGCUUUUAAACAAUGUUUUCUCUCUAUCUCUGACAUUUACUAUUGAGAUGAUGUGGUGGAUUAACCAUGUCUGGAUGUCAGUUGCCCACCAAAAUUGCUCUAUUGCUCUUCAUCCUCAACUGGACAAGGGAGAGAAAGUAUAAUGAAAGGAUUUUGAUUUAAGGACAGGAAGACAUCACUCAUUGACUGCCACUGUCAUAGAACAGGCUGGAAUUGUGGAAAUUAGUUCCAUUUAUUACCAAACAAAUCAGAGUAUGAUUAUGACAAAGAAAGAAAACUGAAUCCUAAAGUACCAUCACUCCGUACUUCUUUCUGUGCUUAAAUUCACUCCUGAUUUUAUCUAACUCUAACUCCUCUCCCUUAGCAGUGGAGGGGGAUAGGGAAUGAGGAUUGAGGUCCAUUCAUCACAUGUUGUCCCUGCUGUUCAUAUCUCCUCAGGAGAGGAGGCCUCACACUCCUCUGCUCCUGCAUGGCGUUCCUCCCAUGUGAGACAGUUUUUCAUUAACUUCUCCAAUGUGAGUCCUGUGGAGCUGCUCCCUAUGGCUCCCUUUCACAGGGUGCAGUCCUUCAGAAGCAAACUCCUCCAGCAUGGGUCUCCUGUGGGCUCACAGGUCCUGCCAGAAAACCUGUUCUAGCAUGGGUCCACAGGUCCUGCCAGGAGUCUACCACAGCACGGGCUUCCUGCUGGGUCACACCUGCUCCAGUGUGGGGUCUUCCAUGGGCUUCAGGAGGCUAUUUGCUCCAUUUUUAACUUCCAUGGGCUGCAGGGGCACAGCUGCUUUCCCAUGGUCUGCAACAUAGGCUGCAGAGUAAUCUCUGUUCUAGGCCUCCUUCUCUGCCUCCUUCUUCCCCUCCUCCUCCUUCUUCACUGACCGUGGUGUCUGUGUAGUUGUUGCUCUCACAUUCUCACUUCCCUCUCCAGCUGCAAUUGAGCAGGGUUUUGUUUCCCCUUCUUAAAUAUGUUAUCCCAGUGGUGCUGCCACCACUGAAGAGCUUGGCCUUUUCACAGAAGCCACUCCAGUAGUCCCCUUGGUACUCAAAAUUUGCCACGCAAGGCAAAUCCUUUUGCUAAGUUAUAAAAGUAGGCCCUUCUGUUUGGCUUCCGUGACUGACUUUUUAAUUGUUCUCCUUCAAGGUUUUUUUUUUUUUUUCCUCAAUAUUGUUAAAUGGAAAAGUUAUAUAUAAUCUUCCAGAUAAGGUCUCAUCAGGGACACAUAUGAUGGCUUUUUAAUUUUCUCCCUGACAACACCUCUUGAGUGUGCCCUCUGUCUCUCUCAUAGCCAUGUCACUCACCUUAAGAGCAAAGAAAAGAUUGAAUCUGCCUAAACCCCGGCAGAGCACUCCAUAUGGUGCUGUGUGGGAAAAUGCUAUCUAAACUGGAGGAGAUGGCUGUUAGUACAAAUGCUUUGGGAGUGACUGAAGGAGAUAGCAAGAAACUGUGUUGAAAGAAGCUAUAAGGCUGGAGGGAGGUUAUUAGUGGAGUUCCUCGGGGACUGGCUUUGACAUUGAUCUUAUUUAUUAUUUUCACUAAUUACCAAAAAGUAGGAUAAAAACAAGAAUGUGCUAAUGAAAUUUGCUAACGGCUUGAAGUUGAAACUACAUAAGAGACCAGGAUUGACCCUGAAUAGUGAUGAAUUGGAGAUGGAAAGGAAUUAGUAUUAAAAUAACAAGAAGUUGCAUGUUUGGAGGAAAAAUAACAAGUAUUUCUGGCAUUCCUCAUUCAGUGAGCAGCAAAAAGUUUGUGGAAAGCUUAACUGUAUGAUAUAAUCGGAGGGUGACUGUUAUUUUGUUUGCAGUGUGGAGAGGUCUGAUGGUCCCACCACUGGAGGGAGACAAGGACCAACGAGAACAAACAUUGAUAAAUGUCAGAUGAUGUGUGAAUUCACGUGUAAGAGUGGAAAGCAAGCCUGACCCCUGUGAAGGAUUGCAUAGAUCUGUUUGUCUUCAACUGUACCACCUCAAUAUGGACAGUACAACACAGUUAAUGCAUGGGAAGGGAGGAUGCAAAAGGUCUGUGCAGAGUUGCUGUUUUAUUUGGGCCACACGGGUCAUUUUGAGGUAGUUACUUUAAGGAAAAAAAAAAAAGAAAA